rnacentral:sRNA from 1 species
UGCUAGCAAGUAGGUUGCGUUAGCGAUUGAAACGGCAUCCUUUUUUGUUUUUUCAAAAAAGAUAUAGUGUAAAGCGCGACCUUUU